rnacentral:rRNA from 1 species
UAGGGAAUCUUCGGCAAUGGGGGCAACCCUGACCGAGCAACGCCGCGUGAGUGAAGAAGGUUUUCGGAUCGUAAAGCUCUGUUGUAAGAGAAGAACGUGUGUGAGAGUGGAAAGUUCACACAGUGACGGUAACUUACCAGAAAGGGACGGCUAACUACGUGCCAGCAGCCGCGGUAAUACGUAGGUCCCGAGCGUUGUCCGGAUUUAUUGGGCGUAAAGCGAGCGCAGGCGGUUUAAUAAGUCUGAAGUUAAAGGCAGUGGCUUAACCAUUGUUCGCUUUGGAAACUGUUAGACUUGAGUGCAGAAGGGGAGAGUGGAAUUACAUGUGUAGCGGUGAAAUGCGUAGAUAUAUGGAGGAACACCGGUGGCGAAAGCGGCUCUCUGGUCUGUAACUGACGCUGAGGCUCGAAAGCGUGGGGAGCAAACAGG